rnacentral:rRNA from 1 species
AUUGAACGCUGGCGGCAUGCUUUACACAUGCAAGUCGAACGGUAGAGGGGGCAACCCCUUGAGAGUGGCGAACGGGUGAGUAAUGCAUCGGAACGUGCCCAGUCGUGGGGGAUAACGCAGCGAAAGCUGUGCUAAUACCGCAUACGAUCUCUGGAUGAAAGCGGGGGACCGAAAGGCCUCGCGCGAUUGGAGCGGCCGAUGACAGAUUAGGUAGUUGGUGGGGUAAAGGCUCACCAAGCCAACGAUCUGUAGCUGGUCUGAGAGGACGACCAGCCAACCGGGGACUGAGACACGGCCCAGACGCCUACGGGAGGAAGCAGUGGGGAAUUUUGGACAAUGGGCGCAAGCCUGAUCCAGCAAUGCCGCGUGCAGGAAGAGGGCGUUCGGGUUGUAAACUGCUUUUGUACGGAACGAAAAGGUCUGGGUUAAUACCCUGGGCACAUGACGGUACCGUAAGAAUAAGCACCGGAUAACUACGUGCCAGCAGCCGCCGUAA